rnacentral:rRNA from 1 species
AAAUGCGGAAAUGCGGAAGAGAUAAGUGCUGAAAGCAUCUAAGCACGAAACUUGCCCCGAGAUGAGUUCUCCCUGAGACUUAGAGUCUCCUGAAGGAACGUUGAAGACGACGACGUUGAUAGGCCGGGUGUGUAAGCGCAGCGAUGCGUUGAGCUAACCGGUACUAAUGAACCGUGAGGCUUAACCUU